rnacentral:tRNA from 1 species
GCCCGUUUGGCUUAGCGGUAAAGCGCAUCACUAGUACUUGCUAAUAAUUAUCUGCAAAUGAUGAGAUCCUAGGUUCGAUUCCUAGAACGGGCA